rnacentral:rRNA from 1 species
CUACGGGCGGCAGCAGUGAGGAAUAUUGCACAAUGGAGGAAACUCUGAUGCAGCAACGCCGCGUGGAGGAUGACACUUUUCGGAGCGUAAACUCCUUUUAUAUAGGAAGAAGAUGAUGGUACUAUAUGAAUAAGCGCCGGCUAACUCCGUGCCAGCAGCCGCGGUAAUACGGAGGGCGCAAGCGUUACUCGGAAUCACUGGGCGUAAAGAGCGUGUAGGCGGAUUAAAAAGUCAGAAGUGAAAUCCUAUAGCUUAACUAUAGAACUGCUUCUGAAACUCUUAAUCUAGAAUAUGGGAGAGGUAGAUGGAAUUUCUGGUGUAGGGGUAAAAUCCGCAGAGAUCAGAAGGAAUACCGAUUGCGAAGGCGAUCUACUAGAACAGUAUUGACGCUGAGACGCGAAAGCGUGGGGAGCAAACAGGAUUAGAUACCCUCGUAGUC